CGGUCGGAAGACGGUCGGUCAGUGGUGCCAAGGUGGUAGAGGUCGAUGGGGGGGAGCUCCGCGCCACGAACCGUGCCCUGUGUCUGCUUCGUGGGUGUGGGACAGUUCGCUCUGAGCUUCUUGGUGGUGAAAGCUUGCUGUGGUUACAUGCGUCUCACAGCGCAAAUGCUUAUGCCCUGCGAAUUGUCUGCCCUAGGCUGACUCUGGGGUCUCAACUCCGCAUAAUAAAAGAUGUUCCAGUGGUAGUGCUUCAUGGUUAUUGGGCCGUGUGGGACCACAGGUGCCCCGUGGGUGCAGUGAGCACAGAGUGCAGCCCCAGCUGUGCCUCUGAGGAGAUGUCAUCACCGGGAAGGGUGCUGUUCCACUAGGUCCAUCUCUGCUGUCCUCUGGAGAGGCAGGGUGGUGCUGCGUGUGUGACACAAAACAUCUACUCAUGGUAUUAGGGGCAUUAACCAGCAGUGCUGCAUUAUUUGCUCAGUAAGUAGGAGAUUUAUGAAAGCGUUUUGUAAAUGUUACAGGAAGAAUUCUGAAAUCCCUGUAGCUUUAAAGACUGGGAAGUAUAAAUGAAUUGGAAUGAGGGCUGCAUUUAUUUUAUUAUUUAUUUGUUUGUCUGUUUGUUUAUUGUGGAAAGGAUUUUGCAGCUCAGAAUUCUGCUUAUUUCUGGUAAAACUAAACUGGAAGAUGAGCUUGACUGCAAAUCUGCCUGUAAGAAAACAGAGAUGCUGAAGAUAGGAUAUGUGUGUUCUUUUAGAAUGGAAUCGUGGCUAUGUUCCUUAUGCAAACUGUUUCAGUCUGUUGAUGUCCGUUAGAGCUGGUUUGUACCAUGACUGCUGCGGACCCUUUCCUGAGGCCUGAUUUUCUGCAUGUGCACCUUAGUUCCCCCUGCCCUGCUCUUUCAGUAUUUGUGAAGACAAAUAGGUUUGCUUAGCAAGCUCUUUUACUAAAGUUGUGUCACAUCUCAUUCCUCUACAUUUUGUUCCAGUGUGAACGCAUCCAGAAUCUUGGAGAAGGAUUUUCAGCAGCUCACAUAUGGAGAUGAUGCCACUUUCCUUGCUUUGUUGAGUCCAGUUCUUAAAAUGUUCAGUACUGACUGAAAGCUACAGAAAGGAGCUCUGAGGAGGAAAUGAAAAAUAUGUGAAAAGCAUUGUAGGGACCUCCAUGACCCAGACUAAAAGUAAUCUGAAAUAAACCUACCUGGAAUGUACAUGGUGUGGAUGUCCAAUCCUCAGCAUCCACUGUUCUGCACUUCACUCCAUCGCUUGUCUGCACUACUUCCCACAGGGGGCAUAGCCUGGUAAGUUGUGGAAAAUGGGAUGUGAAGAUGGAUUUUCUGGAUCCUGAUGCCUACCUAGAAUCACUGCUGCUACCUCUAGGGCACAAUUCCAGGUACUGCCAUGAGAUACAGCAAUUGAGAGCUGACUGAACUCUUGCUAUACCCACUCAGAACGCCCAGCUUUGCUCAGAUUAUUUUUCAAAAGGCUGUACUCUAAUGGGUUUUUGUUUGGCUGAUUUGCAGAAGGGAAAAUAUAAAAAGACAUGCUUAAAUUUAGUAAUACUAAUGUCAAUUGUGUGGUUACUAGAGAAAGCUCUCUCACAGAAAAUGUUCUUGUUUUAUGAAUCAUUUAGUACAUCAGAGGUAACAUAAUAAAAAUAGGUUGCUGCCAUGUGAUCAGUGUCUCCAGCUUUGAAAAUUGAAUAGGUUUAAAAAUGUUUAUUUUUGAAGAUUGCAUUCUGCCAGCAGCAGGCUCUCUUAUGCUGUGAUACAUCUGUAACUCCCCUUGUUAAUUUCCCUGCAGCAUUCUGUAGCCUCACUGACAUCUGUAAGCAGGUAUCCAGUGUGCCAGUGCAGUCUCUUCACAUGGUAGCGUAACUCAGAUAUACUUGGUUUUUGCAAGUUUUUAGAUGCUUUCACCCUUUGUCUUGCCAUGUUAAAGUGAUAUUUUUACUUUUUAAAAUAUUUUCAUUGUCAGCUCUUGUAUACCUGUCUGUGCUUUCUUACUGUUGUCAGAAAAGGAACGUGUAAAACUGGGUGUCCCAGCAGAUGAAAAAACCCUAACAGCAUUUCCCUGCAUAGGAGAAAGAAAUUGGGAAGAUUCAGUAAAAGUGCAGGAGAACACUGAGAAAAUCUGAAGUUAAGGGAAAGAAGGAAAUGCAGUAGCAGCUCUGCAAAAAUGGACUGAAGAGUGCUGGAGUGCUCCAGCUUGUCUGCUAAAGGUUUUUCGCAGUAAACUUUAAUGAACCAACUCUGCCUGACUUGUCUUGCUUUGAUUCUGUUAUAAAAAUUGUUGGUGAAGAUUUUCAUUUGGCUCAAUGUAUAGGAUGCUGGGCUUUUGUAGUGGAAAAAUCUGAGUUCCCUUUUGCUGGGAAGUAUCAGAGCUUGCAGAAGCAUUCAUAGUGCAGGCAUGUUCUAGUAAGAGUGCACUGUCCCGCUCUGUAGCUUCAGAGAGCUGAAAAGAUGAGGAAGUAUGGGAACUGAGUUUUGGCAGCAUGGUUUUACUUGCAUUUUAAUUCAUGUUUUCUUGAUUGUUUCACAUCCCUGAUUUAGUUCUCCUUUUAGAUUUUUGCAAUGGGAUUAUGGUUUCUUGAUGGAUUCCCUGUGUCCUUUUGACAAGAGCUCCUGUUGCUUGCUUUUCAAAGAAAGAAUAGAAACUUGCUUCUAUGUGUCCUCAGAAUUGCUGGAGGUGGUACUACCUUGACCCCAAUUAAAUUGCUCAUCCCAAAUCAAUUUGCCACCACACAGACAAUAUUAUAUUACUAGAAUCUGAACCUACAGACUCAAGCCUCUCAGCAUUGGCCAAACACUUGCCUUAUAAUGUAGAGAUUACGCUAAAACAAAAGGAACCAUAUUACUGUAAUUUCUUUCCAUCUUUCUUUCUUUUUUGC